GAUGAGAGAUUUUUUUCGUUUCAUGAUGUUGUGUGGAAUAGUGUUGUCACUGAGAAAAGAAACGUUUAGUUCUUGAGCGUCCAUUUAAGAUUAGGGUUUUUUUUCUUUGUUUUCUGGGAUUUAAGUGGUGAUGAACUGGGUCGGAUCCGAUCCGGUCCGCUUGGCCCAUAUUUUUUUUUAAAUUUUAAUUUUCUUUCUGGUUUUCUUUGUUAUAUUAAUGAAUAU
rnacentral:lncRNA from 1 species